rnacentral:misc_RNA from 1 species
AAAUGUAUUGACAAAAGUUUCCCUGCCAAAAAAAUUUGUAUAAAGGUAGUUACCAACCUAAGACAUCAAAUUGGCCAUUAUCAUAUGUUGUUGGACAAGAUCAACAAAUUGAUUCAUUAGCUUGAUUCUCAAUAAGCUAAUAAUUUCCCUAAUAUACAGUGAACCAGAGAUAUGAAUCAUUUCGUGGUUCGAUCACAUGGAAAUAAAUUCUCCUACAAACUAUAUCUCAAUAAAGUUGAAAGCAAAGAAAAAAGUUCCGUAAGUUCCAGCAUACUAUUAUUUAAGUUGCCCAUUUCAAGUGUCAUGUUUUGCUAACUUUUCUUUUUUUACCACACUUUAUAUUAUUAUAGCAGAAAGCAAUAUCCAAUGAUCAGUAACAAGUUUCCUACAUCAAAUGGAAUUUUGAACCUUGCUGCUGUUUAUCUAUUUGUUCAGACUCAAAGCAAGCCAAGGUUCAUAAACAGGGCUGGCAACGGAUGCCAUGUUGAGAGAGAAAUGAAAAGAAACUUUCAGCCUUUUAAGGAUAAGGACUACUACUGUAUCUAAAAUAAACAUUAUGUUAAAGAUUGUAGCCCAGGUCCUUUCAAAGUAAGAAUAGGAGAGCAAUUAAAAUCUUAAUAGGAAGUUGAUGAGACAAAACUGGACUAGAAACUUACAUCCAUAAAUUACUGUUCAAAUAUCAGAUCUAGUAAGUAGUAACCAUAUAAGCCUCUCUUGACAACUGACUAGUAUAAGAUUUGAGUAUAUAGGAAACAAGUGGAACAUAUUACCCACCUUCAAGUUAAAUUUUAAACAAAAGAUGAAGCAUAAGAAGAAAAUUUUAGCAAAGUAGGUAAGAGAAAGGGAGAAUCAGCACAUGGACAUGGUGGUUGUUACCUAGGAUCAUUUCCAGAUAAGGA